rnacentral:rRNA from 1 species
CGUGUAGGCGGUCGGUCAAGUCCGAUGUGAAAGCCCGGGGCUCAGCUCCGGAAGGGCAUCGGAAACUAGCCGGCUAGAGCGCGAUAGAGGAGGGUGGAAUUCCUGGUGUAGCGGUGAAAUGCGUAGAUAUCAGGAGGAACACCGGCGGCGAAGGCGGCCCUCUCGGAUCGUUGCUGACGCUGAGACGCGAAAGCGUGGGGAGCAAACAGGAUUAGAUACCCUGGUAGUCCACGCUGUAAACGAUGGGUACUAGGUGUUCGGGGUAUUGACCCCUGAGUGCCGCAGCUAACGCAUUAAGUACCCCGCCUGGGGACUACGGCCGCAAGGUUAAA